rnacentral:misc_RNA from 1 species
CAGAGAACAUGCCCUUUAGGGUAUAUCUCCCACCCUUUGUUUACAAUACCUUUGUUGCUUUGGCGGGCCUGUCUCUUGGACUGCUGGCUUCAGCUGGCUCGUGCCCGCCAGAGAACCCCAACACUCUUGUAUUUAUGCCGUCUGAGUACUAUUUAAUAGUUA